CCUUCCCUCCCGGCGACAACAAGCAAAACCCUUAAAUCGUCAACUUGCUCCGCGCGCUCCCUCUCUCUACACAACACACACACACACACACACAAUGGGUGAUUCAGUUCAAUGGAUUAAGCACAUCGAAUUGUACGUCAGCUCCACUGCCACUCCAUCCCAACAGUCUGCCAGUGUGGAGGCGGUUGCCACUUUGUUAAAGAAGGGCUUUUUUACUCUAGAAACACUUGUCAAGGAAUUGGAGAUGUAUUUGACUACCACUGAUAACAUUAUCCGCUCUAAAGGAAUUCUCCUCCUUGCUGAAGUGUUGGAUCAACUAGCAUCAAAGCACUUAAGUAGCAGUUCAAUACAUAGCCUAGUAGGAUUCUUCACAGAAAGACUGGCAGACUGGAAAGCUUUACGUGGUGCUAUUGUCGGCUGUUUGGCUUUACUGAGGAGAAAAGUUGAUGUUGGAUGUGUCACCGAUUCUGAAGCAAAGGCUGUUGCUGAGUCUUAUCUCCAAAAUCUACAGGUGCAGUCCUUGGGCCAACAUGAGAGGAAGCUGAGCUUUCAACUCAUGGAAUGCUUAUUAAAUCACUAUCCCGGUGCAAUAGAGGAUUUGGGAGAUAACCUUGUUUAUGGAAUCUGUGAGGCUAUUGACGGGGAAAAAGAUCCUCAAUGCUUAUUGCUUGUCUUUCAUAUAGUGGAAUGUCUUGCGCGGCUGUAUCCUGAUGGUUCUGGUCCUUUAGCAAAUUAUGCUGAGGAUAUGUUCGAAAUUUUAGGCAGUUACUUCCCCAUCCAUUUCACACACCCAAAGGGUGAGGAUGAUGACACAAAGAGAGAACUCUCGAGGGCAUUAAUGUUGGCAUUUGCUUCUACACCUCUUUUUGAACCUUUUUCUAUGCCGUUGCUGCUAGAGAAACUUUCUUCUUCUCUACCGUCAGCUAAGGUGGAGUCGUUUAAGUAUCUUAGCUAUUGCACAGUGAAAUAUGGACCAGAAAGCAUGGCAAGCCACGCUGAAGUUCUUUGGUCUUCUAUAAAAAAUGCAACAUAUAUUUCACCUCAGUGUACCCUGACUAAGGAGUCUGAAUCAUUGGGUGGCAUGGGUUUUCAGGAUAGUGACAUUAUGAUGCAGGCUUUUAUACUCCUGCAGAAAGUUAUUCAACAAUAUGGUGAUUUCAUUAUUUUAAUUUUGGGUGACAAUGACAUAAAUGUCUUUAUGAAGUCCCUGAAUCAGUAUAAGGAGAUGGAUGAAAUUAUAGCAAAACAGAGAUUGCAUGUGGUUGGUCAUAUUCUGUCCACUUGUGCUAAACCCUCGCCUGCAUUGUGCAAUAAAGUAUUUCACAGUUUCUUUCCACUCCUCAUGGAAAGUCUGGUGUUUCCAGUUGAAAAACCGUUGAAUGGCUAUCCAGAUGAAGAUUGUUUUCCUCCAGCCAAAUUUAAUUUUCCAGCUAUUUAUCUCUGCAUAGAACUUCUCGCAGCAUGCAGAUAUGUGGCUAUCUCCCUCGACAGUUCCACACCAGCUGUUGAUUUUUCUGAUCAGACAUGGUCUACCAUGCUUAGCAAUUCCUGUAAAUCACUAGUGAAAGCAUUCUUUUCCCUCCUAAGAUCAACGAUAGCUGAUCAAAGACCAAGUUCUGAUGUUUACUUUGGAGUUAAGGGCCUGGAAAUUUUGGCUACAUUUCCAGAAAGCUUCCUUCCAGUAUCAAAGUCCACAUACGAGAAUAUAUUGUCAGAGUUUGUCAGAACAGUUACUUCUGAUAGCAACGAGACAUUCUUGUGGACAUUGACAUUGAAGGCAUUGAAAGAAAUUGGCCUUUUUGUCAAUAAAUGUCCAGAAUCUGCAAAAGCUGUGAGCUUCGAGAACAUUGUUGUCGAAAAAAUUGUCUCCCUGAUACCUUCUGGUGAAUCAACUAUGCCUUCUUCACUCAAACUGCAAGCUGCUUUUGAAAUUGGAGGAACGAGAAAGGAAUUUAUGUUCAGAGUCGUUCAUGGGUUAAAUGCAGCAAUACAUACCAACUUUUCAGCUGCUUAUGAUGAAGGGAAUCAAUCGUCUGGAAAAGUGAUGAUCAAGCUUCUUGAUACUUACACCGAAAAGGUGCUUCCAUGGUUUCUUAAGAUUGGAGGUUUUGAGGAAAUCCCCCUGAAUUUUGCUCUCAGUAUCUGGGAAAAGAUUGAACAUACCAAGUCCUUAAACCUCAGUUCCCUGGAAAUUCAUAUGGAUCUUCUUGGGGCAAUAAUGACUGCAAUGAAGAAGGCUGUCCGGAGUUGUUCGAAGGAAAGCCAGGAGAUAAUCAUUAAUAAAGCUUUUGGAGUACUUUCUUCAAGUACUGUUUUUGGACAGAUGGUAAUUGAAUCUGGCAGUUCUCUUGUAAAGGAAGAAGGGUUGCAGCAAAUUCACAAUCCCAGUGAUUCUUCCUGUAGAGAUGAGCGGCUUACUUCAUUAUUUGCUUCAGUUAUUAUAGCUCUCCGUCCUCAAACAAGUAUACCAAACGGAAAAAUGAUUAUGCAGCUGUUCAUAAAAAGCCUCCUCAAUGGACAUGUUCCAUCUGCUCAUGCACUGGGUUCCUUAGUUAAUAAGCUACCUUUGGAGGUUACAGGAAUGGGCUCUAAUGGAAAUCUGACUCUGAACAAGGCACUGGAUAUGAUAUCUCCUAGUUUUCUGGGGAUUUCUCAUUAUGAUAACAUUUCUCAAAAUAAUGGCAGUAGAAUUGAUCUCAGUUGUCUAAGAUUGAAUACCUUAAGAAUGCAGCCUGGAAUUAACACUGCAGUUGGAUUAGCCUGGAUUGGUAAAGGAUUACUUAUGAGGGGGCAUGAAAAGGUAAAAGAUAUAACAAUGGCUUUAUUAAGUUUCUUGAUGCUGGAUUGUCAAGGUGGAGAUGCAAAAGAGCUUCAAAUUAUUGAUGAGGAAGAAAUGCAUAAGCUGAGAACAAGCGCAGCUGAUGCAUUUCAUAUCAUUAUGAGUGACUCUGAAGAAUGUCUGAAUCGAGAAUAUCAUGCAACAAUACGACCACUCUACAAGCAACGGUUUUUCAGCAUCAUCAUGCCAAUUUUUUUGUCCUUGGUGAUCAAAUCAGAUGCAUCACUUGUCAGUCCUACAUACACUUCCAGAUCUAUGCUAUAUAGAGCUUUUGCGCACAUUGUAUCUGAUGCUCCGUUGAUUGCUGUUUUGGCAGAAGCCAAAAAGAUUGUCCCUAUUUUAUUGGAUUGCUUGUCGGUGCUGAGCAAGGAUGUCGUGAACAAGGAGAUAAUUUAUAAUGUUUUACUUGUCAUGUCAGGAAUAUUGCUUGAGAAAAAUGGACAAGAAGCUGCAGUAGAAAAUGCACCCAUCAUUAUAAACCAGCUUAUUGAUCUGACAACAUACCGACACAUGAUGUCUAUUCGAGAAACAGCAAUACAGUGCCUUGUUGCUAUGUCUGAGCUUCCCCAUACUAGAAUUUAUCCUUUGAGAACUAAGGUUUUACAAGCCACAUCAAAGGCGCUUGAUGAUCCUAAGAGGAUUGUUCGUCAAGAGGCUGUAAGAUGCCGACAAUCUUGGGCUUCAAUUGCGUCAAGAAGUCUUCGCUUCUAAAACUGAAGGGGUUUUUCGUUGCUGUGCUGGUGAGAUCCGCUUUUUGUUAAAUGCAAAUCUUGUUCCAAGGUUCAUUCUCUGAAUCCUUGGCAACUUGGGAGUAUUAUUGUAUUGUAACAAUAGCAGUAAUAUUUGUGCAGAUUUCAUGAGAUGCAGACUAAUAUAAUGGGUAUUUAUGUAUAUUCCUCAAUCUCCAACCUAUAUAUAUCAACUGCAGCAACACUCGUAUCAAGAUGUCUGUCCUUCUGUAAAGCUUUUGUUUUGUUUAUUUCCUUGCGGAACAUAUCACACGUACGAAUUUCGUGUGUGAUAACAUAACUUAUUAGUAAUACCACUUUAAAUUGCAA